GGGAUAUAAAUAUGAGUGAGUGCAGGCAGGGGCUCAGUGAUCUGUAUCAGGCCUGUGUGCAGUGAUCAGUAUGGUGUCCCACAGCUGCUUGCUGCCUAUACUCAUGCUCUGGCUUCAGGGUUCCUAUGGGCAGAUUGUACUGACUCAGUCUCCAGAUUAUGUCUCUGUGUCACCAGGGGAAACUGUCACCAUCACAUGUAAAGCCAGUAGCAGUGUUGGCAAUGUGUUAGCCUGGUACCAACAGAAAUCAGGGCAGGCACCAAAGCUGCUGAUCUAUGAGGCAAGUACCCGACACACAGGGACCCCAGAGCGGAUCAGUGGCAGUAGGUCUGGAACAGAUUUCACUCUUACAAUCAGCAGAAUGGAAGCAGAAGAUGCAGCAGAUUAUUACUGUCAGACAAGUUAUGGGUCACACAGUGAUACAGAGCUGAACAAAAAGCUCCCUGUUACUGUGCCAGUGAGUUAUUUACAUGAUACUCUAUAA